AGUGAACGCUGGCGGUAGGCCUAACACAUGCAAGUCGAACGGCAGCACAGUAAGAGCUUGCCCUUACGGGUGGCGAGUGGCGGACGGGUGAGGAAUACAUCGGAAUCUACUCUUUCGUGGGGGAUAACGUAGGGAAACUUACGCUAAUACCGCAUACGACCUACGGGUGAAAGCAGGCGAUCUUCGGGCCUUGCGCGAUUGAAGGAGUCGGUGGCGGAUUAGCUAGUUGGGGGGGAAACGGCCCACCAAGGCGACGAGCAGUAGCUGGGCCGAGAGGAUGAGCAGCCACACUGGGCCGGAGACACGGACCAGACUGCUACGGGAGGAAGAAGUGGGGAAGUGUCCGCAAUGGGCGAAAGCAUGAAGGAGCAAGGCCGCGUGGAGGUAGAAGGCCUACGGGUCGUGAACUUCUUUUCCCGGAGAAGAAGCAAUGACGGUAUCUGGGGAAUAAGCAUCGGCUAACUCUGUG
rnacentral:rRNA from 1 species